UACCUGCAGCGCAAGUGGUGGUCAUUAUUAUUGGGCCUAAAGCGUCCGUAGCUGGCUUGUUAGGUGCCUGGGUAAAUCGAUGCGCUUAACGUAUCGAAUUCCGGGUAGACCGGCAAGCUCGAGACCGGGAGAGGCGUGAGCUACUCAAGGGGUAGGGGUAAAAUCCUGUAAUCCUUUGGGGAGGACCAGUGGCGAAGGCGUCACGCUAGAACGGCUCUGACAGUGAGGGACGAAGCCCUGGGGAGCAAACCGG
rnacentral:rRNA from 1 species